GACGAACGCUGGCGGCGUGCUUAACACAUGCAAGUCGAACGGAAAGGCCCCUUUGGGGGUACUCGAGUGGCGAACGGGUGAGUAACACGUGAGUAACCUGCCCUUGACUUCGGGAUAACUUCAGGAAACUGGGGCUAAUACCGGAUAGGAAUCCUUGCUGCAUGGUGGGGGUUGGAAAGCUUCGGCGGUUUUGGAUGGACUCGCGGCUUAUCAGCUUGUUGGUGGGGUAGUGGCUUACCAAGGCUUUGACGGGUAGCCGGCCUGAGAGGGCGACCGGCCACAUUGGGACUGAGAUACGGACCAGACUCCUACGGGAGGCAGCAGUGGGGAAUAUUGCACAAUGGGCGGAAGCCUGAUGCAGCAACGCCGCGUGCGGGAUGACGGCCUUCGGGUUGUAAACCGCUUUCAGCAGGGGCGAAGCUUUUGUGACGGUACCUGCAGAAGAAGCACCGGCUAACUACGUG
rnacentral:rRNA from 1 species